UUAAUUCAUACAUCUUGUUUAAUUUCUGUUUUGUUACUAUUAAUUUUUAUUUGAUGUUAAGAUUAAGGGGGAUUAGCUCUUUAUUUUAUAUUUAUAAUUUUUUGUUAUUAUUUAUUUUUGUGGAUUUUAUGGUGAUUUUCAAUUUGAUUAUGUUAAAAUUUUAUUUGUUCUUUUGUUUAUUUUUUGGGAUUUAAUUUAUUUAUUGAAAUGUUUUUUUUAUCUUUUUUUGUAUAUUAAUUAUUGUGUAAUUAGUAAAUCUUGAUUUUUAUGUUGUUAUUAUUUAUUGGGUGAUAAAUCUCCUUUUAGGAAUUCGGCAAAUUAUCAUUUCCGCCUGUUUAACAAAAACAUCUUUUCUUGUUAGUUUUUGAAGUAUAGCCUGCCCACUGACUUGUUGUGUUGAAGGGCCGCGGUAUUUUGACCGUGCAAAGGUAGCAUAAUCAUUAGUUCUUUAAUUGUGAUCUGGUAUGAAUGGCUUGACGAGACAUGAGCUGUCUUAAUGGUGUUGAUUUAUUGAAUUUGGUUUUUGAGUUAAAAUUCUUAGAUGUUUUUAUGGGACGAGAAGACCCUAUAGAGUUUUACAUUAUGUUUUAUGUUGGUUUGGUUUGUUUAUUGGUUUAUUAAGAUUUAUUGUUUUGUUGGGGUGAUGGGAGGAAUUAAUUUAACUCCUCUUUCUUUUUUUAUACUUAUUUGUAUUUUUUUGAUCCAUUUAUUUUGAUUAUAAGAUUAAAUUACC
rnacentral:rRNA from 1 species